CCCACAGAGGGCUCCCGAUCCCCAGUUCAGCCCACGGAGGGCUCCCGAUCCCGAGUUAAGCCCAGGGAGGGCUCCAGAUCCCCCGUUAAGCCCAAGGAUGGCUCCAGGCCCCGAGUACAGCCCCGUAAAUUCCCCCAAGUAUUUUUUUUGGGGGGGUCUGGGGUUAGUAGGGAUCCAGCCUUAGAGGCUGCUUUGCCAUGGCCUCCCGAGUCUCCUGAUCCACCAUGGCCUCCCGAGUCUCCUGAUCCACCAUGGCCUCCCGAGUCUCCUGAUCCACCAUGGCCUCCCGAGUCUUCUGAUCCACCAUGGCCUCCCGAGUCUUCUGAUCCACCAUGGCCUCCCGAGUCUCCUGAUCCACCAUGGCCUCCCGAGUCUCCUGAUCCACCAUGGCCUCCCGAGUCUCCUGAUCCGCCAUGGCCUCCCGAGUCUUCUGAUCCACCAUGGCCUCCCGAGUCUUCUGAUCCACCAUGGCCUCCCGAGUCUCCUGAUCCACCAUGGCCUCCCGAGUCUCCUGAUCCACCAUGGCCUCCCGAGUCUCCUGAUCCACCAUGGCCUCCCGAGUCUCCUGAUCCACCAUGGCCUCCCGAGUCUCCUGAUCCACCAUGGCCUCCCGAGUCUCCUGAUCCACCAUGGCCUCCCGAGUCUCCUGAUCCACCAUGGCCUCCCGAGUCUCCUGAUCCACCAUGGCCUCCCGAGUCUCCUGAUCCACCAUGGCCUCCCGAGUCUCCUGAUCCACCAUGGCCUCCCGAGUCUCCUGAUCCACCAUGGCCUCCCGAGUCUCCUGAUCCACCAUGGCCUCCCGAGUCUCCUGAUCCACCAUGGCCUCCCGAGUCUCCUGAUCCACCAUGGCCUCCCGAGUCUCCUGAUCCGCCGAGUCUCCAGAUCCGCCAUGGCCUCCCGAGUCUCCAGAUCCACCAUGGCUUCCCGAGUCUCCUGAUCCGCCGAGUCUCCAGAUCCGCCAUGGCCUCCCGAGUCUCCAGAUCCGCCAUGGCCUCCCAAGUCUCCAGAUCCGCCAUGGCCUCCAGAGUCUUCUGA
ensembl:lncRNA